rnacentral:rRNA from 1 species
UACGUAGGGUGCAAGCGUUAAAUCGGAAUUACUGGGCGUAAAGCGUGCGCAGGCGGUUUUGUAAGUCAGAUGUGAAAUCCCCGGGCUUAACCCUGGGAACUGCGUUUGAAACUACAAGGCUAGAGUGUGGCAGAGGGGGGUGGAAUUCCACGUGUAGCAGUGAAAUGCGUAGAGAUGUGGAGGAACACCGAUGGCGAAGGCAAUCCCCUGGGCCUGCACUGACGCUCAUGCACGAAAGCGUGGGGAGCAAACAGG